CAGUAGCCGCGGGAAUACAGAGGGUGCGAGCGUUAAUCGGAUUUACUGGGCGUAAAGCGUGCGUAGGCGGCUUUUUAAGUCGGAUGUGAAAUCCCUGAGCUUAACUUAGGAAUUGCAUUCGAUACUGGGAAGCUAGAGUAUGGGAGAGGAUGGUAGAAUUCCAGGUGUAGCGGUGAAAUGCGUAGAGAUCUGGAGGAAUACCGAUGGCGAAGGCGACUAUCUGGGCCAACACUGACACUGAGGCACGAAAGCGUGGGGAGCAAACAGGAUUAGAUACCCCGGUAGUCCCUGUCUCUUAUAC
rnacentral:rRNA from 1 species